AACUGUUUCACAGCCUACUGUAAAAGACCUCAUUUUAAGCUGCUCGGAUUAGAGGUUGUUGUUGCUGCAGCACAGCCAAGCCUAUGCUGACUCUACAGACAGGACUCAUUUCGUGAGAGACAGUAUUCUUGUAGAAGAAACAUGGAAUGGAUCAAUAGGAGCAUGAAGAUACAGCACCAUCUCACGUUGGGUGAUGAACUGUUGGAUAAUGUAGAUGUA